UACGUAGGGGGCGAGCGUUGUCCGGAUUUAUUGGGCGUAAAGAGCUCGUAGGCGGUUCAUUGCGUCAAUCGUGAAAUCCUGUGGCUCAACUACAGGCUUGCGGUUGAUACGGGUGGGCUGGAGUUCGGUAGGGGAGACUGGAAUUCAUGGUGUAGCAGUGAAAUGCGUAGAGAUCAUGAGGAAGACCAGUGGCGAAGGCGGGUCUCUGGACAGUUACUGACACUGAGGCACGAAGGCCAGGGGAGCAAACGGG
rnacentral:rRNA from 1 species